rnacentral:rRNA from 1 species
GUCUAGAAAAUUGGGCAAUGGGCGCAAGCCUGACCCAGCGACACCGCGUGGAGGAUGAAGUCCUUCGGGAUGUAAACUCCUGUCAGGCGGAACGAUGCCUCACGCACUAACUACGCGUGAGGUGACGGUACUGCCAAAGGAAGCCCCGGCUAACUACGUGCCAGCAGCCGCGGUAAUACGUAGGGGGCGAACUUUGUCCGGAAUUACUGGGCGUAAAGGGUGUGUAGGCGGUCGAGUAAGUCAGUGGUGAAAUCUCCGCGCUCAACGCGGAAACUGCUUCUGAUACUAUUCGACUUGAGGGCGGAAGAGGAAGUUGGAACUUUCGGUGUAGCGGUAGAAUGCGUAGAUAUCGAAAGGAACGCCAAUAGCGAAGGCAGACUUCUGGGACGUUCCUGACGCUGAAACACGAAAGCUGGGGGAGCAAACAGGAUUAGAAACCCGUGUAGUCC